CGGUGGGCCACCCCUCCCCACCGAGGGGCUGCUAUCUGAGAGGGUAGAAUAC
rfam:Labrenzia suaedae strain DSM 22153 genome assembly, contig: Ga0131142_102